AAAGCGUUCGUUGUAUGAGGAACCACAUAGUUAUUGGCUUUGUUUGGUGAACAUCUCGGAGACCGUUACAGAAAUAUUCUGUGGAUCAUUAACAAAUUAUCAAAAUGAGAACAGAUUCAUGUUGUAUCACUAUCAGUGACCAAUGAAAAUGAUCUAAGUGUGAUGGAAAUUUUCUGUGGAAUAACAAAUUAUGGAAUUGAGAACUUAAUUUAUUUUAACUGCCCUGGAUAUCAUGUCAUUGUCCACACAACUUCAACUUCUGAAGGAUAAUUCAUUCAAUGAGGAUAGGAUAUCUACUCAAUAUAUCUGGAAUGCAAGAACUGCUAUAUUCAUACUCCCCUUGGUCAUUAGCUUUCUACAGAUCCUGAGUGAAUGGACAGCAUGAAAUCUGAUCUUCAGACCAACCACUACAUCAAUAUACAAAAUGUCUAAGCGCAAAGCAGACGACAAUUCCGAGUGCAUAGACUGCACCUGCUACAUCCACAACGCCUCCCCAGUUAAAGGAAAUGCAGAGCAAAAAUAAUUCUUCAAAGCAACAUGCCAAGUCAACAACAACGAGUACAAGAACUGCUUAUGCUAUGCUCCUCGUCUACACAAUGAUUUUAAGAAAGCAGAAAAUGCAACAAGUCCUGUCAAAAUCAAGAACGUUCAAUUGAUUCCUAAUAAUCAAGACAACACGAAGAAGGACUUCAAGAUAACAAACAAUUCAACAAUUGAAACGCAGAAAACAACAACCUUACCAUUUAAGAUGAAAACACCAGCAGUUGACCUAAAUACAAUCAUCGAUACACCACUGAAGGAUUUGAAAAGUUUACAGAUUGGCCAAAAGACAUGCUUGUCGUUGUGGAACCACAAUUCCAGAGAAUUCUCUACUAUCUGAAACUUUAAAAUGCACAUCUUGUGGAAUGUGACAGAGA